rnacentral:lncRNA from 1 species
AACACGUCGAUCAUCAUCAUCAUCACAAUCAAUGUUGUAACUGUUGGAGACAGUAUUUCAUGAGUUAACGUAGUGGUUUAAAAGGUUAAUAAAUAAGUAUGAAUUCAUAAAUAAUUUAGAGUAUUAGAAUUGAGAGUGUAAAGAGAAAGAAAGAGUUUCAAUGUGAGGUCUAUUUUAUUUUGAAACGUACGGUCAUAUGACCUUGUUGUAUGAGGAAUUGUGGGUAAAAAGAGACCGCGCGCUUAAAGCAAAGAGAGACCGGAUACAUAGCGGACGCCUGGUCAGAAAAGCAAACAGACUACACUAUGUUCUAGAGGCGCACACGUUUUCACGGUGUCUCAAGAUUGUUUGUCGUGUCGUCGUUGGAGGAGAAUGAGGAGGAAAUAAAAGGAUGAAUCUUGACAUCAGUAUGAUUCGUGGCCUUUUUCAAGAACGAGUGUAGCUACAGUGAAAACGUAACGCAAACAUGGCCAAGACUUAAGAGACGAGAGCUGCAAAUGUCCGAGGCAUGCGGAAGCAAGACUGCUGGAGCAACGUGUGGCCGGAACGUACAGGAGCCGACUAGAGAGAGAUACAAAGAAAGCGUCUACACCAGAGCAUCGCGACUUCAUCACGACUUGCUGGAGAGAGAGAGGACGGCAUCGUCAACCACAGGAGUACGGCUUGCUGCUAAGAGAGAGGACGGGAACGUCAACCGCGAAUUACCGCAACUUCACCAACAGGGGGCAGCGCUUACCAGCGGGUGCUACGGUUCUUCAUAUCCUUACCUGGCUUCAGCUGGCAUGGUCUCCAGCCUUCAGGCAGACAAGAGCAGUUCUGCAAUAAUCCUUCAACUGAGAGUACCAACCUUCAACUGGAGCUGGACCACAGUCUGCGGCUGCCUCCCCAGUUCAGUGUGGAUACUAGGAUGGGACUGGAGUGACUGGUGA